UCCUGAGAAGCUGGCUGUACCUAUCAGAAUGCUGGCAGUCCACCUGUCCUGGCAUUUCACACAGGGCUCAUUUUCCAAGCCCAAGAAAUAUAAACUGUUGUCUCUAAUUAACAGUAGAGCAUACCUAUUAUCCAAGUCCUGGAUGAAAUUAUCCUGCUGCUUGGUCUGGCAUAAAGCUUCUAUCAAAGUCCUGGUGGAAAGAAAAGACAUUUCCAGAAGCUUUUGUUUGCAAAUGGACCCUCCCUGCCUUUCUGUAAAUGCUUACUGGCUAUUUUCACAUUUUUCUCUUCUCAGGGAGAGGAAAGCAGAGUGAGAGGGACAAGCAG